CCAUGGGAGCUUGGUGGUAGAGCAUCUGCUUUGCACACAGAAGGCCCCAAGUACAAUCCUUGGCAUUCCCUUGUAGA